CUCUCUCUCUCUCUCUCUCUCUCUCUCUCUCUCUCUCUCUCUCUCUCUCUCUCUCUCUCUCUCUCUCUCUCUCUCUCUCUGAUUCUAAGCUAUGGUUUUGAUUCGAAAACUCGGAAUCAGAAUCAAUGGCUUGCCUCUUCUCCACUCUCUUCUUCCAUAUGCCUUCGACGGAGUUGCCACCGGCGACGACCACCGCAAAUCAGAGCUUCUGCAACUCAUCAACGAUGUCGUUGAUGCUUCACCGAUCUGGUGCGGCGGAUCGCAUUUUCUCAAGGAGAUCAACCACUUCAAAGGCCAUGAAUUGUCGCUCUCGAAUGCUUCGAGUUAUCCAUGCUCGAUCGAGCAUUGGGUGACAUAGGCGUGCUUGUAGAUCUUAGUUACGACGAUGUUCUGGAGGUUGUGGAUGUCGAUGAUUGCAGGGAUAGAUCUACAGGUGGAUGUUCAUUUUCAGUUUGGUUUUAUAAUUGUUGAUAAUUGAAUUCAUUUGGGUGCUAUGAUUGUAUGGUUAAUUAAUGUGUGGAGGAAUGAAGUUAUUGCUACUGGAGGUGCUUUGGUGGUGUUAUUCCACUGUUGAAGUAUACUAAGAAAGGUAAGGGAGGAAAGUAGAUUUGGAUCUCAGUCGGCAGUAGCAGCUCUGUGGUUAACAGUAGCAGCCAGUAGAAAUACGUUUUAAUAAGCAGUAGCAUCAACAGUAACAGUAGCAGCUUCCUAAUAAUCGGCAACAGUAGCAGAGCCUUCCAGUAGACAAUAGCAGAGCCUUUCAGUCUGGAGCAGGAGAAGGCAGUAGCAGAAGUGGAGGAUAAGACAGUGGCAGAGUUAACCUUCAUUAUCUAGUCUUCAUUGAUGUGUGUUGUUGUGUGUUGUUGUGUGCUGCUACUGCGUGCGCUAUUGUUGUAUGCUGCCACUGCAUGUUGUUGAUGUGUGUUGCUACUGUGUGUGUUGUUGAUAUGUGAUGCUACUACGUGAGCCAUUGAAAACAUGCUACUGCACUUACUGAAAUUGCUACUGCACUAGCUGAACCACUAAAACCUUGCUACUACAUCUGUUGGAAGUGUAGCUUUCUAGCAAAACAUGCUAUUACAUUAGCUAAGCCACUGAAAAUCUGCUAUUACUUCUAGUGGGAUGUUAACCUCUGCUACUAUUUUCUACUGGAAUGUUAACCCCUGCUACUACUUCUACUGGAAUUAACUACUAAUACUACUGGGAUGUUAACCCCUGCUACUACGUCUACUGGAAUUAACUGUUAUUACUACUGGGGUGUUAACCGGUACCCCUGCUACUACUUCUAUUAGGAUGUUAACUCUUGCUACUACUUCUACUGGAAUUAACUGCUAAUACACUAAGGUAUUAAAAACCUGCUACUAUAUUCCAUUUACUGAAAAAUCUCAAAAUGAGAGACUGUUUUCUUCUAAAAGCAUAUUUAAUUAGUGUAGGGUUAGUUUGGUAAAUUAAAUCAUGACACAUGACAUGCAGAGAAAAGAUUGUCCUUAAUUGUUAAAAACUAUCCUUAUUUGUUUAACAACAACACAAAUGGAUUUAUUUGUAUUUCAAAUCCUUUUGGAGGAUGUAUAUGUGAUUUGCUAAAAAAAAAACCAGAAAAGAAAAAUAAUUCCUCCGGCCCAAGAGGAGACAAGGUAGGUCUAGGCGGUCCACGUGAUGUGGGCUUUCACGGGAUGUAGGGUCCACCGUUUUAAAAAAAAAAAAAAGUAGAAUUGGUUUAGUUCGACCCGACCCAGAUCAACAAGCUCUCGCAUGCUGCUUCUGAAUCUUGAAGGGCAUAUGUCCAAGAGUCUGUUGUAGAGCUAUGCAGUAUUGCAAUACGUAGAAUAGUUUCUAGCUUCUUUAAAAUUCUGCAUUGCUUUGCAUUUCUUUCCAAACCAGCUUUGUGAGUGAGCAAUGGUGGACCUAGGAUUUUAGGUUGGGGUGGGAUAAAUUUUUUUUCUUAAAGUUCUUUAAUUUGUUUUCUUCUAUAUUUUACAUAUCACAUUUUAAAUUAAAAACAUAUCAAAUAAUCACAUAGUUAACUGAUCAUUAAAUUUCUUAAAGUUCUUUAAUUUUUUUCUUCUAUAUUUUACAUAUCACAUUUUAGAUUAAAAAUAUAUCAAAUAAUCAUAUAGUUAACUGAUCAUUAAGAAAUCAAUAUUAUAACAUUUUAUAGAAAUUCGAUAAUAAAAGUUAAAGAUAAAAGAACAUACCUACUCAAAUUGAACCCUACGCUCUUGAAUAGAAACAAAAGCUAAUAACUAAGCACACAAUCACCGCUCUAACAAUACAGUAAACGAGUGUGUAAUCUUUAAACCUAACUAGACGAAAAAACACAAUCUAAUAACUAUGAAACAAAUGUUGGUACUAUUACAACUAUAUAUCUAUAUAUAUACACAUCAUUAGCAUUAGUCAUCUACAAUAAAAUAAGCAAACAAUUGAGAUUAGAAUUAGAAUAUCAAUAGAAAUACAGUGUGAUGGGAUGAUGGGAUAUUGAGUCUAUCAAGGCAUUAAUCAAUUGAGAUUUGAGAUGAUGGGAUAUUGGGACUAAAUUUGAUCAAGGCAUUAAUCAAUUGAGAUUUGAGAACUAGGUCAUAUGACACGUACAAGACUCCAAGAGGAUGACCGAUAUAACUAAGAAUCAUACAUGCAGAUUAAAGAGAGAAAACUUGGCACUUGGCUUAGAAUUAGUAAGCAAAUAAUUGAGAAAAGAAUUAGAAUAUCAAUAGAAAUAAAGUGUGAUGGGAUGAUGAGAUAUUGAGACUAUCAAGGCAUUAAUCAAUUGAGAUUUUGAGAUGAUGGGAUAUUGGGACUAAAUUUGACCAAGGCAUUAAUCAAUUGAGAUUUGAGAACUAGGUCAUAUGACACGUACAAGACUCCAAGAGGAUGACCGAUAUAACUAAGAAUCAUACCUGCAAAUUAAAGAGAGAAAGCUUGGCACUUGACUUAAAAUUAGUAAGCAACACGUACAAGACUCCAAGAGGAUGACCGAUAUAACUAAGAAUCAUACAUGCAGAUUAAAGAGAGAAAGCUUGGCACUUGACUUAAAAUUAGUAAGCAAGCAAUUGAGGUUAGAAUUAGAAUAUCGAUAGAAACACAGUGCGAUGGGAUGAUGGGAUAUUAAGACUAUCAAGGCAUUAAUCAAUUGAGAUUUGAGAUGAUGAGAUAUUGGGACUAAAUUUGAUCAAGGCAUUAAUCAAUUGAGAUUUGAGAACUAGGUCAUAUGACACGUACAAGACCCUCCAAGAGGAUGACCAAUAUAACUAAGAAUCAUACCUGCAGAUUAAAGAGAGAAAACUUGGCACUUAGCUUAGCUGCUUCGGUAGAAGAGAAAGGAGACGUAUACAACGACAAAGAAAAAGAAAUAAAGAAAAGAAAGUUGACCUAAAAUAUACUAAUAGAGCAACUGCUUUUAAUAAAAUAAACAAUAUAUAUGUAAUCAAAUAAAAAAAAUCAUAUGGACUAAGUUCAAUUACAUAAAGAAAUUUGGGGUGGGCUGGUUUU
rnacentral:lncRNA from 1 species